rnacentral:rRNA from 1 species
GUGGGUGCUUGCGGUCGGCCUUUGGUCAGCACUGCUCGCGCCUACCUUUCUGCCGGGGACGAGCUCCUGGGCUUAACUGUCCGGGACUCGGAAUCGGCGAGGUUACUUUGAGUAAAUUAGAGUGUUCAAAGCAAGCCUACGCUCUGAAUACAUUAGCAUGGAAUAACACGAUAGGACUCUGGCUUAUCUUGUUGGUCUGUAAGACCGGAGUAAUGAUUAAGAGGGACAGUCGGGGGUAUUCGUAUUUCAUUGUCAGAGGUGAAAUUCUUGGAUUUAUGAAAGACGAACUUCUGCGAAAGCAUUUACCAAGGAUGUUUUCAUUAAUCAAGAACGAAAGUUGGGGGCUCGAAGACGAUUAGAUACCGUCGUAGUCUCAACCAUAAACGAUGCCGACUA